GAGUUUGAUCAUGGCUCAGAUUGAACGCUGGCGGCAUGCCUUACACAUGCAAGUCAACGGCAGCACGGGAGCUUGCUCCUGGGUGGCGAGUGGCGAACGGGUGAGUAAUGCAUCGGAACGUAUCCUGGAGUGGGGGAUAACGUAGCGAAAGUUACGCUAAUACCGCAUAUUCUGUGAGCAGGAAAGCGGGGGACCUUCGGGCCUCGCGCUCUUGGAGCGGCCGAUGUCGGAUUAGCUAGUUGGUGAGGUAAAGGCUCACCAAGGCGACGAUCCGUAGCAGGUCUGAGAGGAUGAUCUGCCACACUGGAACUGAGACACGGUCCAGACUCCUACGGGAGGCAGCAGUGGGGAAUUUUGGACAAGUGGGGGACCAACCCGUGACUCCAGCCAUGCCGCGUGAGU
rnacentral:rRNA from 1 species